AUGGAGUUCGGAACUACAGUCUCGACCUGCAAUGCAACGUUGGUUCGCGGUAACCACAUCUUCGUGGUUGAUGACUACAGUGUCAUCAAGGAAACUGAUAUAGGCAAAUUUGUAAGGUCAGAUGCCUUCCAAGUUGGUGGCUAUGACUGGUCAGUUAGAUUCUAUCCACAAGGAAUCAAUGAUGGAUGCCAAGACCACAUCUCUAUUGUUGGUGAGCUUAUGAACGAAGAUGUAGAAGUGAGGGCCAUAUUUUAUUAUCGAUUGAUCUCCCCAGGAGGACAGUGUACUGAGUGGAAACAGAUGAGAGUGUUAAACCUAUCUAGUGCAGAGGGCAAAUGUAGGAUGGGAGGGUGGGAGAAGGUCAUGGAGAAAACAUUACUUGAAGCAGAGUAUGUGAAAUUUGACCACUUCUCAAUCGAGUUUUCAGUCAGUGUUAUAAAAGAUCCAGUGGUGACUAGCAGUGACUUACUACUUUCACCCCAAGUGAAGCUGCCGCCAUCACAGCUAUCAAGUGAUUUCGCAAAUAUUCUAGAGUCAAAAGAAGGGGCGGACGUGACCUUCUGCGUACAAGGUGAGCCAUUUCUUGCACACAGGGUAGUGCUUGCUGCGAGGUCCCCUGUGUUUAGGGCGCAGCUCUGUGGCCCAAUGAUGGAGAAAGAAGGGUCAUCUCUAAUCUUGGAAGAUAUGUUACCUGACGUUUUUAGGACACUUCUGCAAUUUAUCUACACAGACUGCUUGGUGCUUCCUUUCGAUGAUUUCGAUGACGAGGACAGAAGAGAGAUUGUACGCCACUUACUGGUGGCUGCCGAUCGCUACCGCAUUGAAAGGCUAAAGCUCAUAUGUGAGGCUGCUCUUUCCAGGUGUCUUGAUGCACAGACAGUGGCAACUACAUACGCUCUAGCUGAUCAACAUCAGUGUAACGAUCUUAAACAGGCAUGCCUCAAAUUUAUGGCAUCUCCAACAAUAUUUGGUAAAGUGUUGGCAAGCCAAGACUAUAACAACCUCAAGAGAAAGAGCCCUAGUACAACAUUGGAGAUUUUAGAGAGCAUUUAUAAGUUCCCAAAGAUCUAUGCAAAACAAGCCAAACCUGCAGGGCAGUAUGACGCUGACGAGCGCACCAUUCCGAGAAGUUUCGCACCUGCACAACCGGGGAAAGAGAAGGGUGAGUCCUGGAGGUGGAACUCGGACCAGCAGUCUUCGCCAGCAACAGCAGCAGGUGGACGACAAGCCGUGGAUUUCGUGGGCAAGUCCGCUAUAUCCUCAAGAUAA
rnacentral:rRNA from 1 species